rnacentral:tRNA from 1 species
CCCUGGGGGUCUAGCGGUUAGGCCACAGUGCUCUCACUGCUGCAGCCUGGGUUCAAUUCCCAGAAACUGGGGU